rnacentral:rRNA from 1 species
UAAGCGGAGGAAAAGAAACCAACAGGGAUUGCCCUAGUAACGGCGAGUGAAGCGGCAACAGCUCAAAUUUGAAAUCUGGCGCAAGCCCGAGUUGUAAUUUGUAGAGGAUGCUUCUAGGUAGCGACCGGUCUAAGUUCCUUGGAACAGGACGUCAUAGAGGGUGAGAAUCCCGUAUGUGACCGGCCCGCACCUUYUACGUAGCUCCUUCGACGAGUCGAGUUGUUUGGGAAUGCAGCUBUAAAUGGGAGGKAAAUUUCUUCUAAAGCUAAAUACCGGCCAGAGACCGAUAGCGCACAAGUAGAGUGAUCGAAAGAUGAAAAGCACUUUGGAAAGAGAGUUAAAAAGCACGUGAAAUUGUUGAAAGGGAAGCGCUUMCAACCAGACUUCUGGGCGGUGUUCCGCCGGUYUUUUGACCGGUYUACUCGCCGUCCCGAGGCCAACAUCAUCUGGGACCGCUGGAUAAGACCUCAGGAAUGUAGCUUCCCUCGGGAAGUGUUAUAGCCUGUGGUGAUGCAGCGCGUCUCGGGUGAGGUCCGCGCUUCGGCAAGGAUGUUGGCGUAAUGGUUGUCAGCGGCCCGUCUUGAACCACGGACCA